rnacentral:rRNA from 1 species
GACAGAGGUGGCAAGCGUUGUCCGGACUGACUGGGCGUAAAGCGCACGCAGGUGGUCUUCCAAGUGGGGUGUGAAAGCGAGCCGCUUAACGGCCCGAGGCCAUCUCAGACUGGUCGACUCGAGGGCGGCAGAGGUCGGUGGAAUUGCCGGUGUAGUGGUGAAAUGCGUAGAGAUCGGCAGGAACACCCAGGGGGAAACCAGCCGACUGGGCCGCUUCUGACACUCAUGUGCGAAAGCGUGGGGAGUGAACUGG